rnacentral:rRNA from 1 species
CAGCCGCCGCGGUAAUACCGGCGGCCCGAGUGGCGGUCACUAUUAUUGGGCUUAAAGCGUCCGGAGCCGGGUUGGGAAGUCCUCCGGGAAAUCUGGCCGCUUAACGGUCAGAAUGCCGGAGGAUACUCCCAGCCUAGGGAGCGGGAGAGGCCGAGGGGAUUCCCGGAGGAGGGGGGGAAUCCUAUAAUCCCGGGAGGGCCACCUGUGGCGAACGCGCUCGGCUGGAACGCGUCCGACGGGGAGGGACGAAGGCCAGGGGAGCAAACCGGAUUAGAUACCCGGGUAGUCCUGGCGGUAAACGAUGCGGACUUUGUGUCGGACAAGCUAUGAGCUUGUCCGGUGCCGGAGGGAAACCGUUAAGUCCGCCGCCUGGGGAGUACGGCCGCAAGGCUGAAACUUAAAGGAAUUGGCGGG